rnacentral:ncRNA from 1 species
UAGUGAGUAAGUCCUGUUGAACGAAUGACGCCUCAGGAAUGGAGGUCAGGACAAGUAAACAGGGUUCACUU